GGGAACAGCAGAAGCAGAAGGGACAAAAAUGGUAGGAUCGGAGACCAGGACAUGGCUGCGGAGGAAAAAGCUGGCAGGACUGCUUGGUCAGGCCAGGAAGGCGGGAGACUUUAAGCAAGUGGAGGCCCCACCCACUAAGUCCACGCCCCAUCCAGGCUCCUUCUAACCCUGGGACUCCUUUCCUGAAGGCUCCGCCCCAGCCAGGUGCUGGUCCCAAAUCACGAGGCCACAAGACUCUGUCCAGCCUCCAGUCCUCCGCGGCUAGCAUGUCUGGUCACGUGAAGUUUUUGGAUCAGGCAUGGGAAGGGGGACUCCAGACAGUGACGACCAGACCGAGGGACAGGAGGCUCAUGUUCUUCCCCAGAGCCCAGCGGAGGUGGGGGAGUGACACAUUCUCAUCACUAAUUCUUACUGCCAUGACUCCAGGUCACAGCAAGCCAGCCCCGCCCGCCCGGCACAUCCCCCCACCUCCGCUGAUUCAGGCCACAGCAAAGAAGCUAGCUUAGGCAGGGCAACUUCCCAUCUCUGGUUCUGGGCCCUGGCUUGGGUUGAGGACAUAGCUGAGGUACUUGCUUCCAGCAACUGAGUGUGAGACUGGAGAUGUGCCUGGACUCCAGACACUGUCCUUUUCCAUCAGCUGCGGUUUCCCAGUCUGUGAAAUGGGGUGCUAGUGACACAUGACUGUGGAUAGAGUCGCCAGGAAAGGAUCAUGCUGUGAGAGCCUCUGCACCAAGUCAGUUUGAGAAUUGAACCCUGGGUCCCUGGAGCAGUGACAGGCCACAGAACAGCAGCACCAGCAGGAAAAGUUCCAGCUCCAAGCGUGAGAAAACCGGGUUUUCUGUGUAGGAGACAGCAAGCUAGAGGGGAUGGCGAUUUGGGAUGGCUACAUGCUGAGUUCUGUUCUAACCAAGUCUUGAUUCCAACCCUCACCCCUCUGCAAGCUGGGCAGAGACCACCCCUGAGGCCACGAGUACGGAUAACAUUUGUUUUCUCUUUUGUUGAUUUGUCUCCCCAGCUAAUAAGCUUGUGAUUGUGCCUCAGCUUCCCAGGCUCUGGGGUCACAAGGUGCUGUUUGUCUUAGGUCACUUGCAGGAUGCAGCAUGGACCAAGGCCAACUGAACCCAUAGGGUAGUGGGUCAGGGACGGGUUCUGUCCGUUACUGUCCUAGCUGAGCCUAAACGCGCUGGAGGGGGAAUGGGAGCACUUGGCAAAGUACUCAUGGGCUUAAGUCUUGAUGUGUUCCUACCCUAGUGCAGGACUUUUGCUAAUGAGCACAGAUCCUGGGGUCUGGUCAGCAAGUGUGCAGAGGGCCAGAGCUUGGUCUCCCCUCACAAAUCAGGGAGACUAGGGACAGGCGACACCCGCCUGGGUGGCUGGGAGGUUGUUGCCUUUCUUCCUGAUGAGGAAGUUAAGGACGACAUGGGCGUCACAGCUUGUGUCUGUCCGAGCACCCUGGAGCUGGGGCAGCAGAAGAGGGGCUGUUCUUGGGUUUAGGGUCCCUGGCAGGCCAGGACAUGGGUAUGGGGCAUGGCCACUGGCAGGACAAAGUCUGUCGUUCGCAACAGGGUUUAGGAAUUCCAGUCCCCAAAGACACUCAGCCAACAGGUACAAUGUUUCAUAUUCGUAUCAAUAAAUGUACCGU
rnacentral:lncRNA from 1 species